CUACGGGCGGCUCCAGUGAGGAAUAUUGCACAAUGGGGGGAACCCUGAUGCAGCAACGCCGCGUGGAGGAUGACGCAUUUCGGUGUGUAAACUCCUUUUAUAUGUCAAGAAAAUGACGGUAGCAUAUGAAUAAGCACCGGCUAACUCCGUGCCAGCAGCCGCGGUAAUACGGAGGGUGCAAGCGUUACUCGGAAUCACUGGGCGUAAAGGACGCGUAGGCGGGUUGGAAAGUCAGGUGUGAAAUCCUACAGCUUAACUGUAGAACUGCACUUGAAACUACGAGCCUAGAGUAUGGGAGGGGCAGAUGGAAUUAGUGGUGUAGGGGUAAAAUCCGUAGAUAUCACUAGGAAUACCUAAAGCGAAGGCGAUCUGCUGGAACAUAACUGACGCUAAGGCGUGAAAGCGUGGGGAGCAAACAGGAUUAGAUACCCGCGUAGUC
rnacentral:rRNA from 1 species